CACGUAGGGUGCGAGCGUUGUCCGGAAUUAUUGGGCGUAAAGAGCUCGUAGGCGGUGUGUCACGUCGGCCGUGAAAACCUGCAGCUUAACUGUGGGCGUGCGGUCGAUACGGGCAUCACUGGAGUUCGGCAGGGGAGACUGGAAUUCCUGGUGUAGCGGUGAAAUGCGUAGAUAUCGGGAGGAACACCAGUGGCGAAGGCGACUUCUUGGCCUGUUCUUGACGCUGAGGCGCGAAAGCUGGGGGAGCAAACGGGG
rnacentral:rRNA from 1 species